rfam:Danio rerio chromosome 4, GRCz11 reference primary assembly.
GCCCGGCUAGCUCCGUCGGUAGAGCAUGAGACUCUUAAUGUCAUUGUCGUGGGUUCGAGCCCCACGUUGGGCG